GACGAACGCUGGCGGCGUGCCUAAUACAUGCAAGUCGAACGCUAACGCAUGGUACUUGUGCCCUCUGGGUGAGCAGCGAACGGGUGAGUAACGCGUGGGGCCUCUGCUUUUGUUCGGGGGACAAUAUCUGGAAACGACUGAUACUAACGCAUAAAACCUUUAAACACAAGUUUUAAGUUUGAAAGAUGCCAUUGCAUCACUCAAAGACGGUCCCGCGUUGUAUUAGGUAGGUGGUGAGGUAAAGACUCACCAAGGCGAUGAUACAUAGCCGACCUGAGAGGGAGGUCGGCCACAUUGGGACUGAGACACGGCACAAACGCCCACAGGAGGGAGCAGGAGGGAAACUUCGGCAAUUGACGGAAGUCUUACCGAGCAACGCCGCGGUAGGGAAGAAGGGCGUCGGAUCGGAAAAGUCUGUUUGUAGGGAAGAACGUGGGUGAGAGUGGAAAGCUCAUCAAGUGACGGUAACUACCCAGAAAGCGACGGCUAACUACGUG
rnacentral:rRNA from 1 species